rnacentral:lncRNA from 1 species
UCAAAAAAACAUUGUUUCACUUGCUUCUAUUCUUCCUUCAUUCAUAUCAAAACGACGUCGUUUUUGGGGUUUUUCAAAAUGACGUUGUUUUGGCUUUUCCUAUUUCUAAGAAGCAGGUGGGUUGGGUUUGUUACAGUUAUUGUAGCAUCCCUAAACCCUGGCCACAAGGGAGGAGCUAGGAGAAAGAGGGACAACAUAGUGGAAUGUCGGGAUGAAGGAUUGUUAUCGCGAAGGGAGAGAGGCCACUGAGAGUGAAAGAAAUGAGAGACAGAGAGAGGGACCCGACAACCGAGAAGAAGCAAUAUUGGGGAGAGAGAUAGAGUGGAAAAGGGACGCGACAGGGAAAGAAGAAGAAGAAGAAUUCGUCAUUGUUAUGUUUGUACAUAAUUACGAGGAUGCAAUUAAUUUAAUAGGGAGAAUUUAUAUACCACCAUCAUCUAUAUUAAGGGCU